rnacentral:rRNA from 1 species
ACUGUGUGUUGUUGGGUAGGGGAGCGUUCUGUAAGCCUGCGAAGGUGGCCUGUGAGGGUUGCUGGAGGUAUCAGAAGUGCGAAUGCUGACAUAAGUAACGAUAAAGCGGGUGAAAAGCCCGCUCGCCGGAAGACCAAGGGUUCCUGUCCAACGUUAAUCGGGGCAGGGUGAGUCGACCCCUAAGGCGAGGCCGAAAGGCGUAGUCGAUGGGAAACGGGUUAAUAUUCCCGUACUUGGUGUUACUGCGAAGGGGGGACGGAGAAGGCUAUGUUGGCCGGGCGACGGUUGUCCCGGUUUAAGCGUGUAGGUGUGUGUUCCAGGUAAAUCCGGUUCACUUUAACACUGAGGCGUGACGACGAGGCACUACGGUGCUGAAGCAACAAAUGCCCUGCUUCCAGGAAAAGCCUCUAAGCAUCAGGUAACAUCAAAUCGUACCCCAAACCGACACAGGUGGUCAGGUAGAGAAUACCAAGGCGCUUGAGAGAACUCGGGUGAAGGAACUAGGCAAAAUGGUGCCGUAACUUCGGGAGAAGGCACGCUGACACGUAGGUGAAGUGAUUUACUCAUGGAGCUGAAGUCAGUCGAAGAUACCAGCUGGCUGCAACUGUUUAUUAAAAACACAGCACUGUGCAAACACGAAAGUGGACGUAUACGGUGUGACGCCUGCCCGGUGCCGGAAGGUUAAUUGAUGGGGUCAGCGCAAGCGAAGCUCCUGAUCGAAGCCCCGGUAAACGGCGGCCGUAACUAUAACGGUCCUAAGGUAGCGAAAUUCCUUGUCGGGUAAGUUCCGACCUGCACGAAUGGCGUAAUGAUGGCCAGGCUGUCUCCACCCGAGACUCAGUGAAAUUGAACUCGCUGUGAAGAUGCAGUGUACCCGCGGCAAGACGGAAAGACCCCGUGAACCUUUACUAUAGCUUGACACUGAACAUUGAGCCUUGAUGUGUAGGAUAGGUGGGAGGCUUUGAAGUGUGGACGCCAGUCUGCAUGGAGCCGACCUUGAAAUACCACCCUUUAAUGUUUGAUGUUCUAACGUGGACCCGUAAUCCGGGUUGCGGACAGUGUCUGGUGGGUAGUUUGACUGGGGCGGUCUCCUCCUAAAGAGUAACGGAGGAGCACGAAGGUUGGCUAAUCCUGGUCGGACAUCAGGAGGUUAGUGCAAUGGCAUAAGCCAGCUUGACUGCGAGCGUGACGGCGCGAGCAGGUGCGAAAGCAGGUCAUAGUGAUCCGGUGGUUCUGAAUGGAAGGGCCAUCGCUCAACGGAUAAAAGGUACUCCGGGGAUAACAGGCUGAUACCGCCCAAGAGUUCAUAUCGACGGCGGUGUUUGGCACCUCGAUGUCGGCUCAUCACAUCCUGGGGCUGAAGUAGGUCCCAAGGGUAUGGCUGUUCGCCAUUUAAAGUGGUACGCGAGCUGGGUUUAGAACGUCGUGAGACAGUUCGGUCCCUAUCUGCCGUGGGCGCUGGAGAACUGAGGGGGGCUGCUCCUAGUACGAGAGGACCGGAGUGGACGCAUCACUGGUGUUCGGGUUGUCAUGCCAAUGGCACUGCCCGGUAGCUAAAUGCGGAAGAGAUAAGUGCUGAAAGCAUCUAAGCACGAAACUUGCCCCGA